rnacentral:tRNA from 3 species
GGACCUUUAGCUCAGUUGGUUAGAGCAGACGGCUCAUAACCGUCCGGUCGUAGGUUGAGCAUGUGGUUUA